rnacentral:RNase_P_RNA from 1 species
GGAGCCGGCCAGACAGUCGCGUCAUCGAGUGAUCGAUGCCGAGGAAAGUCCGGGCUCCACAGGGCACGGUGCCAGGUAACGCCUGGGCGGCGCGAGCCGACGGAAAGUGCAACAGAAAGAUACCGCUGACGUUCGCGCGAGCGAGCAAGCAAGGGUGAAAUGGUGCGGUAAGAGCGCACCGCGAGCCUGGCAACAGGCCGGCACGGCAAACCCCACCGGGAGCAAGGCCAAAUAGGGUGACGAUGACGCGGCCCGCGGAGUCACCGGGUAGGCUGCUUGAGCGUCGUGGUGACACGGCGCCUAGAGGAAUGACUGUCCCAGACAGAACCCGGCUUAUCGGCCGGCUCCGCCA